UACGUAGGGGGCGAGCGUUGUCCGGAUUCAUUGGGCGUAAAGCGCGCGUAGGCGGCUCCGCAAGUCGGCCGUGAAAUCUCCGGGCUCAACUCGGAGGGUCGGGCGAGACUGCGAGGCUCGAGGUGGGCAGAGGGCAGUGGAAUUCCGGGUGUAGUGGUGGAAUGCGUAGAGAUCCGGAGGAACACCAGUGGCGAAGGCGGCUGCCUGGGCCUGGCCUGACGCUGAGGCGGCGAAAGCGU
rnacentral:rRNA from 1 species